ensembl:lncRNA
GUAGAAGUAGUAGUAAAAUACACUGUCUUUAAUGCUACACGGUGGAACAUUCCAGAAAAACACCUCCAUGGAGACGAGCAGGAAAAGCUCCACAGUGCAUCUUUAAAGCCACUUGAACUGGAAUAGACACGACUGUAUAACCUUCUCUUAGACGUGUGUUGUGUCCGUGUCGUUUGUUUCCGUUAGCUCCAGAAUUACCUCCAAAAAAUAGUUUUGAGAUAAAAAAAAUUGUACAUAAAUGUUUAAAGACGCGGAACUGACGGAAAAACCUGAAAAUGAUGUUUUUAUCUUUGUAACGAGGGUUUGAAAAAUUAAACUAAGUCAAAAGGCAAAUAAACAAUGUGUCUUUAUUUGUCCACUUUGUCCUGUCUCCAGCGUCCACUCCCCCUCAUCACUCCCUAUAAGUGGCCAGUGCAAGGUGUGGGAGCCCAGCGCUUCAAUUUUUAUCAUUCCAAGGCACGUUCAAUUAUUGAGCGUGCCUUUGGAAUGAUGAAAACAAGAUUCAGGGCCAUCUUUUUUCAUGCGCUGGAGGUCCACCACACUUUUGCACCACAUGUCAUCACUGCCUGUGCCGUCCUCCAUAACAUCUGCCUUGGGGCAGGAGACAUCGUGGCCCUGGAGGACGAGCCACAGGAGAAUGUAGUGGAGGACGAGGGGGACAAUGAAGUGGAGGCCGUCGCUGGAGCACAGUGGACCAGCUGUCUGCUGAGGUCUCUGCCCUGGAGGAGGUGCUCAUGGAUCAUAAUUAUAUCUAGGUAUUUACAGAAUAGCAAGUUUCAAAUUGUUAUUGAAAGUGUUUCAGGGUGAUUACCUGUAAACACUGACUGUAAAUAGAUGUGAUGUAACAUGACCAGUACUAUCAAUAUUGUUUCAGAUUUUUCGAUAGUGACAUGCCAGUCAUCUAUUGCCCCAGCCAGCCCUGCAAACCCAGCCCAUGAACGAUGCAGUGGACAGUGGAGCAGCACCCGGUGUGAGGGCCCCACGUACCAGCCAGAAGAUGAAGACCUCAAUCUCAGCACUGUCAAUUUGGUCCAGGCAGAGAAGGUUGAUUAGCACUGCCAAGGUCCCUGGAAGUGUGUCUUCAUGAUUAAAACCUGGCACUGGCUCACUCAG